GUGCUCACUUGGGCAGCACAGAUACUAAAAUUGGACCGAUACAGAGAUUAGCAUGCCCCUGAGCAACAAUAACACACAAAUUCGUGAAGCAUUCCAUAUUUUA